rnacentral:rRNA from 1 species
UCCGUAGGUGAACCUGCGGAAGGAUCAUUACCGAGUUCUCGGGCUUCGGCUCGAAUCUCCCACCCCUUUGUGAACAUACCUCUGUUGCUUUGGCGGCUCUUUGCCGCGAGGAGGCCCUCGCGGGCCCCCCCCGCGCGCUUUCCGCCAGAGGACCUUCAAACUCCAGUCAGUAAACGUCGACGUCUGAUAAACAAGUUAAUAAACUAAAACUUUCAACAACGGAUCUCUUGGUUCUGGCAUCGAUGAAGAACGCAGCGAAAUGCGAUAAGUAAUGUGAAUUGCAGAAUUCAGUGAAUCAUCGAAUCUUUGAACGCACAUUGCGCCCCUUGGCAUUCCGAGGGGCAUGCCUGUUCGAGCGUCAUUACAACCCUCAAGCUCUGCUUGGUAUUGGGCGCCGUCCUCUCUGCGGACGCGCCUUAAAGACCUCGGCGGUGGCUGUUCAGCCCUCAAGCGUAGUAGAAUACACCUCGCUUUGGAGCGGUUGGCGUCGCCCGCCGGACGAACCUUCUGAACUUUUCUCAAGGUUGACCUCGGAUCAGGUAGGGAUACCCGCUGAACUUAAGCAUAUCAAUAAGCGGAGGA